GGAGGCGUCGCCUAACUGGUCAGGGCAGCGGUUUGCUAAAUCGCCGCGCGCAAGCGUGUGCAGGUUCGACUCCUGCCGUCUCCG
rnacentral:tRNA from 1 species